AAAAAGAAGGGGCAAGGCGUUGUUUGGGAAAUUACUGGGGGGUAAAAGGGCGUGUAGGGGGCCGUUUUAAGAUUAGGGUGAGAAAGUCCUGGGCUCGAACCUGGGGGAAUGCACUUAAUACGGGAUGGCUUGAAUUUCGGGAGAGGAAUAGCGGAAUUCCCAGUGUAGAGGGUGAAAUUAAAAGAUAUUGGGAAGAACAUCGGGGCGAAGGCGGCUAUCUGGACCGACAUGACGCUGAGGCGCGAAAGCGUGGGGUGCAAACAGGAUUAGAUACCCUGUAGUCCACGCCGUAAACGAUGAAUGCUAGACGUUGGGGAGCUUAGCUCUCAGCGUCGCAGCUAACGCAUAAGCAUCCGCC
rnacentral:rRNA from 1 species